GGCUUUAAUUCACAUCCAAAUUAUAUAGCUAAAAGCAGGUAAGAUCUUCAAGAGGAAUUGUAUCUUCAGAAAAAGUGGGGAGCUUAGAAAAAGGUAAUUCGUUUAUGCAAGUAAUUUAUAAUUUAUUAUUUUGGAAAAACAGGUUUCUAAACAAGCAAUUGCAAUUCUCCUCACUCUGCCUCAUCAUACUGUCUGCCAUCUUCACUGAAAUUAAAAAUCAACAAUGUGGUUUAGCUGUUAGAUCAUGAACUGUGACUUCAUAUUGCUGCUGAUUCCUUUACUUGGAGAUGUUCCAGUCCCAGCAAAAGCUAGCAAGUUUUAGCAUCUUAUUCUUCUCACAGUGGUGUCCUUUUGACCUGAGUGUUACAGGAAAGGAGGGUCACUCCAGAGAAGAGAAUAAAGCUGGCAAGACACAAAUAUAGUAGGCUUCCUUUAGGGUAUGAAGCACACUUUGCAUUGGACUAGGGGUGGACAAAGGGAACCCAACCAAAGUCAAAUACCAAGCAAAAGAAAGGAACCUUUGAAGGCUGGCAACACAAAAGCAUCACAGAACCCAUUGAACCAUGCACAAUGAACGGCCACAACAAUGUCAGCAUCACAAUAAGUUAAUGCGAUGGAAGGUGACAAGCGCUGGUAGAUGCGAUAACUCACAAUAAGUUCUGCAAUGGAAUGUGCAAUGGCUUCUCAAGAAAGAAGCCAUCAGAUAAUGAGACUGAUGUAACUUCUCAAAAAAAAA